rnacentral:rRNA from 1 species
GAUGAACGCUAGCGGCAGGCUUAAUACAUGCAAGUCAAGGGGGUAGCAAUACAACCGGCGCACGGGUGAGUAACGCGUACACAACAUACCAUAUACUGGAGUAUAGCUUCGGGAAACUGAAGGUAAUCCUCCAUAACAUUGCGAAAGGGCAUCUAAUUGCAAUUAAAGUUUCGACGGUAUAUGAUUGGUGUGCGUUUGAUUAGCUAGUUGGUAGGGUAACGGCCUACCAAGGCGACGAUCGAUAGCUGGCGUGAGAGCGCGACCAGCCACACUGGAACUGAGACACGGUCCAGACUCCUACGGGAGGCAGCAGUAGGGAAUAUUGGACAAUGGAGGAAACUCUGAUCCAGCCAUGCCGCGUGUA